UACGUAGGGUCCGAGCGUUGUCCGGAAUUAUUGGGCGUAAAGAGCUCGUAGGCGGUUUGUCGCGUCUGCUGUGAAAUCCCGAGGCUCAACCUCGGGCCUGCAGUGGGUACGGGCAGACUGGAGUGCGGUAGGGGAGAAUGGAAUUCCUGGUGUAGCGGUGGAGUGCGCAGAUAUCAGGAGGAACACCGAUGGCGAAGGCAGCUUACCAAGCUGUAACUGACACUGAGGCACGAAAGUGUGGGGAUCAAACAGG
rnacentral:rRNA from 1 species